UACAGAGGUCUCGAGCGUUAGGCGGAAUCACUGGGCUUAAAGCGUGUGUAGGCGGUUUGGUAAGUACCUUGUGAAAUCCCACGGCUCAACCGUGGAACUGCUCGGUAUACUGCCUGUCUUGUGCAACCUAGGGGCGAGCGGAACAGAUGGUGGAGCGGUGAAAUGCGUAGAUAUCUGGAGGAACACCGGUGGCGAAGGCGGCAUCCUGGACCAAUAUUGACGCUGAGGAGCGAAAGCCAGGGGAGCAAACGGG
rnacentral:rRNA from 1 species